UUGUGGGGAGACACGACUCUCUUAGGAGGCAGUUAACCACAAUGUCGCUGGCCAGGGAGCCCAGAGCCCGGACACUGGGGUUCUUACUCCCAGCUCAGCCACUCACCAGCUAUGGCGAAUAGAAAAACCAUCUUACUUCUCUGGGCCUCAGUUCCUUACAGAGGAGAAAACCAAGACUCACGUUGCAGUAAAUGAUGGAACCUGGAUUCUAAACAGAUACCGAGGGUUUCCAGAGACCUCAGGACAUCCUGGGAUUGCCAAGGACUCCCUGCCAUGAUACCCUUUCAGACCUGCUGGUGUAGUGCACUCCUCCGAACAUCAGCCUUCUCACCUGUGCCUUUUUCUCAUCAUAUUUUUAAAAAGAUUUAUAUAUUAUUUAUUUGAGGGGAGAGGUGCAGAGGGGAGAGAGAGAGAGAAUCCCAAGGAGACUCUUCACUGAGCAGGGAGCCCAGAUGCAGGGCCCGAUCUUAGGACCCUGAGAUCAAACCUCAUGCUGAGUCCCAGUCCCUCCUCUAAUUGUUAGCUCUGAGAAAACAAUCCUGUCUCCCUCAAAAUUAAAAAAACAACAACAACUGCUGUGCUUCAAAAGACAAGAUUACCAGAGUGAAAAGGCAACCCAUGAAAUGAGAGAAAAAAAUGUGUAAACCGUGCAUCUGAUAAGGGAUGAGUAGCCAGAAUAUAUAAAGAACACUUAUAACUCAAAAUCUAAAGAGGAAAGAACUGAGUUUUAAAAUAGGCAAAUGACUUUAAUAGCUGUUUCUCCAGAGAAGACAUAUAAAUGGCCAAUAAGUACGUGAAAAGUUCCUCACGAUAACCAGGCAUUAGGGAAAUUAAAAUCAAAAACCACAAUGGGAUACCACUUUAUCCAUUAUGAUGGCCCACUGUAAAUAACAACAAUGACAGAGAAUGCCAAGCAUUGACUAGGGUGUGGAGAACCUGGAACCAUUAUAUACACCACUGUUGAAAAGGCAAAAUGAUGGGGCAGCCGUGGAAAAUGAUAUGGUGAAUCUUCAAAAAAUUAAACAUAAAAUUACCAGGAGGAGGUGCCUGGGUGGCUCAGUAGGUUAGGCAGCAGACUCUUG